rnacentral:lncRNA from 1 species
UAAUUCAUUUAACAUGGAGAAAACAUAAGAUGUGAAUAUUACAAAAAAAGCUCAAAAAGUGAAAAUUUAAUAACUACGACUAUUAGCACUUUAGGUGGCAUUUGAUAGCCAAAAUGGGAUCGCUAUCGUGAGAAGGAGGAAGGAGAGGUCAUUGGUGAGAAAGGGGCAAAGGUGGAGGGGGCCACCAGGCAAGGAGAGAGCUUACGAAUGGGCUUGGAGGAGGAGAAGUGGGUGAAGAAAAAAAAGAGGAUGGGAAAGGAGAGAUCACCAGUAAGGAAUAGAU